CUUUCUCUUCAGCAGUGGGCAGCCUCCUCAGAUUUGCUUCUAUGUGGACGAUCUCCCCGCAGACCUCUGAGAUUGGUUUGAAAUACCAACUCGCCACAACAUAGAUUCACCUGAGAAGAGACUCUCAACCAAGGAAUCCUUUAUAUCUGUUUUGCAUUCAUGGACCAAGGAAGUGAAACAGCAUAGAGAUGCUUGCCAAUAAACGUGAUCACCUGAAUUCAAUUCUGGAACCCACAAGGUGAAGGAGAGAACCGACUCUCAGAGCUUGUCCACAGCAUGUGCACAUGUGUAAAAAUCAAAAGUAGACUCACUUCUUGAGGAAUAAUCAAUACCACUGUUUGUGUAUUGUGUGGAAGACACUUUGUUAGAGUGGCUGAUGUGACAUCCAUCACUCGGUCCUGAGAACAACCAAAAGGCAAGGUUGUCCACCUUUGAAGGGAGUAGUAAUCAGAGAGGAUAUCUCUGGCUCUAACUGUGCUUCAGGGUCCUGUACAAUGAGUUUUUGGCUCUCCCUUGAGUUAGCAAAGAAGGGAAAAAUGAAGUAAAAAUGAAUCAAAGAGUUCCUUGAGCAACAGAAAUAAACCUAGAAAAGUAAUAAUCCUAGUAACAAAGAGUUUAAAACUUGAAAAUCAAUAAACUCAGAGAAGUAGAUCAUUCUGUUGAAAUCUAGUGUCUAGAAGGUCCCAGUGAGCACAGAGG
rnacentral:lncRNA from 1 species